UAUUCGGUGGCCUAGUCGGUUUAAGCGCCGGACUAGCGAUACGCAGAUGUGGGUACGAAUCCCACCAAAAUAA
rnacentral:tRNA from 1 species